CCGGGUGUAGCUCAGAUGGUAGAGCGCUUGAUUUGGGAUCAAGAGGCCGCUGGUUCAAGCCCAGUCACUCGGACCA
rnacentral:tRNA from 1 species